AAAUAUAUAGUAUAAAAAUUACAUUUAAUUUCCAAUUAAAAAAUUUAAUUAAAAAUUAAUAUAUUUA
rnacentral:tRNA from 1 species